UUAGGCACAAAAUUAUACUAAAGUAAUAAAUUCUUAAAAGAGAACACAAAAACUAUCUCUUUCUAGACCCAUCGUCACAAACUAAACACAUACUGUAGUUCUUACUUUGCCCUAGCUACUAGUAUAGAUCUGCAAGGCAAUUCCUAGAACUCUCGAUGUUUUCAUCUGGGUCACAAAGUAAAGAUACAUACUCUGCCCUAGCGGCUAGAGUCGAUCUGCACAACAACUAUCAGAACUCUCAAUGUUUUGAUUUAUGCUUUCUCAAAACAGAGAAAGCACAGGUCAUCGAAGUUUUUCCCUAAUAAUUCUACUCUAUCUACUCGAAUCUCAGGUAUGCCUCUCUUCCACUAAUUAUUUUAUCUUUAGAGAUUAUUGUUUGUUUUAUUUGAGUUACUGUUCUUAUUUUGCACAAUCUGAACAUUUUUCUUUAUUUUUGAACAUUGAAGUAUAUUUAAGUUUCUACUGUAUUAUGUGUCUAAAGAAUCGUAGUUUGAUAAUCAUGUUGUAUACAUAUUGCAUAUCAAUUUUUAAAAAGCUAAUUAUUUCAUGGAUAGAAUAUUUGUUUAUAUAUUCAAUGCUGAUGUUUUGGGACUGAAGUAGCAAUAUGAGUGAAUGAAGGUAUUGUAAACAGUAGUGAAUACUUUUCUUCGUCACUAUAGAUUGAACUCAUUGUGAACCUCUUACUCUUGAAGUAGCUUUUUUUCUCUUGCUCGUGAAGUAGCUCUUUUACUUUACAGAAAAAGGAUCUCAUUUACUUUACAAAAAAAGGAUACAUGCCAACUCCUCUUUUCUAAAUCAUGGGAAGAAUUUGCGAGUGUCAAAGCUAAAUAAAAACUAACUAAAAUUUUCUUAGAAACAUAAAGUACGAGUUCAUCAAGAGCCCUUGUGGAAUUGUUGAAUGUUGUGAAACUGUGAACUCCCAGUCUGGCAGCUCGUUCUCAGAUGGUAAAUUGCCAUACACUAAAGUUUCAAUAAACACUAAGCUUCUAGGGUUAAUGAGUUAGAGUUGUGAUCACCAACCAGUAAGUACAACCAGUGAUCUUGUAUAGUCGCAAGCUAGAGUUUUAGAUGAUCUUAUGUAAUAAAGUAUACUGUUUGAAUUUUUCUUGGGUAUAAAUACUUAGUAUUAUCUCAGGGUAGGCUAGAAGGAAUCUUGUAUACACAUUUCUAUAUUCAACAUCUUAAGUACAAACUAAUGUAUAAUCGUUUAUAUAACUUAAUGUCAUUUAAUUGGACCUUUAGGGACUAGAUUUGGACUUUUAGGAUCAGGUUGUAGGUCAUCACAGUUCUACCUCAAUCUUUAUUUUCUAUCUAUUCGAAUCUAAGGGAUGCCUUCUCUUUCGCGAGUUAAUUUUUUCUUUUCUAGAUUCGAUUUGUUGUUUGUUUUGUUUUAGUUACUCUUCUUCACUCACUCAAUCUGGUCGUUUCCUUUAUUUUUUGAAGUAUAUUCAAAUUUGUAAUAUAUUGUGUGUUGAAACAAUCAAAUUUUAUACUGACUGGUCAUUUUGAAAAGCUAAUAUAUUUUUCUUCCAUGUAACUAAACAACUAAGAUAUGGAUUUGUGUCUUAUGGAAAAACAAAAUAGGAGGGGCCACAUUUGAAUCUUCAUACAUGUUAAGAACUCAGGGAAAUUCAUGAUCUCACACCAACUAUCAACUAGUUGCCUUUUUAGUCGCAAGCUACUAAUUUAGUUGUUGCGUUUAAAAUCAUUUGUCAUAGCUCAGUGUCAAAUAGAAUGACAAAAUUUAUGGAGCAAGUGUUAACGUUCUUGAAUUUAUCAAACUAAAGUUCUUUACUUUCAUACAAAAUGUUGUUGACAGAGUUCUUUAUGUUCCUGCAAACUGUUUAUAGAGUUCUUUACUUUACUUUUUGUUUUUCUUGUAAUUCAAUAUUCUGGCUGAAGUCAUGCAUUAAUUCUUUGCCCUGUUAUGUUUUUUUUUUGGUGAACUGGAUAAUAUUAUUAGCAAAGAAGCUUAAGUAUCAUUACAAAAUAAGGGAAUAGUAUUAUUCCCUGUAUAUAUGGUAUCAUUGGUUGCUAUCAGAUUACUAUUAUGAGUAGAAAUUUCCCUUGAAUAAGUAGUUCCUAGUUUAUCUGCCCAAACUGCCUCAUUUGCGAACAUCGGAGGAACUUGCAAAAUCCUUGUGUGCUCAAAUAAUCGCUUCUUGGCCCCUUCCUUGGCUAAGAGGUCGGCUACCUUGUUCUACUCUCUAUAGGUAUGCGAGAGUUUCGGAUCUCCCAACAGUUGCAUCAAUGACCUGUUCUUUGCCCUGUUAUUAUCGUAUAUUGAGUUGGUUGGAUUAAGAGUAUGACACAGAGGGUCAACCAGGGCCUAGGAAUGACCACGAAUCAAAAGGGAGGAUCCCUUGCUUCACAUAUAAUAUAUCGGUGAAUGUUAGCAGCGGCGUUUAACAACGCAAAAAGAUAUAGAUAAUGGUUCAGUUCAUGUAUAAUAAAACACCAACACUCAGUUCUAAAUUAGCAAUGGUUCAAAUAGAGUAUGAUUUAAGCCUAGUAAUAUGAAUGGAUAACUUAGGCACCAUGUUUGCUUGAUAAUAAAUUCCAUGUAUAACAACCCUCACAAUAGAAUCUUCAGAUCUCCUUUCUUGCGGAAAGAUCCUAUUAUAUCUUUCACGCCAAAAAGAAUACACAGAAGCUCCCAUUGCAAUCAUGUAAACAUUAGCACCUCGACUCUAAUUCAAGGGCGUUAGAGCUAUCCAUGGAACUCAACUUCUAAUUCAAGGGCUUUAGAGCUAUCCAUGGAACUCAAGUCCUAAUUCAAGGGCUUGUGGUUUCAUCUACUGAGCUAUACCUUAAGAUUAGGCUUAAGUAUACUAAUCUAGAUUGGUAAAUUGUAAUUUAACUAUGCUAUGACACUGUAAUGAACUUACUCGUGAGUAAUAAAGACAUUUAGUUGCUGAAAAAAAAAAGGCGAGAGAUGUAUUUUAUCGAUAGGUUAGAUUAAAAUUACUACAAUAUCAAACAUUUAUCAAGAUAUUUGCUUUUUAUUGGCUUAUGUAACCUUACUGUGUUGAAUAACUUAAAAUAAUAUAGGGAUGAAAACAGCGAGCUAGAGAAGGCACGAGGCAUUAAGAAGGCGAUGGGGUGAGAUACUGAUGCGUCACCAUUUUUUUUAAAAGAUGCAACAUUUUUAACUUGAUACAUUAAUUUCUAAAUUUUCCAUAGUUGCACAACUUGUUCCUUUGUUUCCGACAUUACUGCAGUUGCACAACUUCUUCCUCCAUUUUUGAUAUUAACCAUUGUUGCACAACUCUUCAUCCUCUGUUUUUUUUUUUCUGCACAACUUCUUCUUCCUAUAGUUUUUACACACUUUUUGCACAGCUGUGCACAACAUUUUCUGCCUCUUGUUUUAAUUUUCUGCAUAGCUGCUAAGUUUCUCUGUUUUUUUUACUUUUGCCCAAUUUUUAUUUCUGCCUCUGUUUGGUUUUAGAAACAGAUUAAUUCUUGGUUAAUGCAUCUCAAGGCUUUUCUAAUUAUUGUUUCUUAUAUUUUUGCAGCUUUGUUCAUGUAUCUGGAUAAUACUUGAUGAAAUUUAAACUACUUUUGGGGGUGAGUCGUAUACCUAAUCUAGUGAUAGAUUUACACGUACUAUACAAAUAGUUACUUAUCAUCUUUUCAAAAUUUUGAAUAUUUUGAAGGUUGAAGUUCAAGACAAGAUGCAAGAUUAGAAGAUGCACAACCUCAUUAUUUUGCUACGGAUGUCAUGCAAAACUUGAUAUCAUAGUCUAGCUCUGAAGGUUAUCUAACUAUUUUUUUAAGAAAAUGUUGAAACCAAAAUCAAUGGAUGUAAACUGAUUUUUUGAGAUUAAUUAGAUUUCUAUCUUUCUGGAUACAUAUAUCGAGUUUUUGUAUUGGCACCUUUGGUAGCAAUUUUAUAUUUAUUGAUGAAAUGUA
rnacentral:lncRNA from 1 species